rnacentral:rRNA from 1 species
UCCAGCCUGCCCAGUGACCCUGUUUAACGGCCGCAGUACCCUAACUGCGCGAAGGUAGCAUAAUCACUUGUUCUUUAAAUGAGGACUUGUAUCAACGGCAUCACGAGGGUUCCACUGUCUCCCUUUUCUAAUCAGUGAAACUAAUCUCCCCGUGAAGAAGCGGGGAUAAACCUAUAAGACGAGAAGACCCCAUGGAGCUUUAAACUUAGCUGCACCCUCCUCUCCCAUACCCUCUUAUCAAUUGAAGUCCUACAUGCUAAGUCUUAGGUUGGGGCGACCACGGAGUACAACUAAACCUCCAUGAUGAAUGAACCUACCCUCUUAUCUGAGAAGUACACUUCUAAGAACUAGCACACUAACAAAAUGAUCCGAUUAUCGAUCAACGAACUAAGUUACCCUGGGGAUAACAGCGCAAUCCAUUUCAAGAGCUCCUAUCAACAAAUGGGUUUACGACCUCGAUGUUGGAUCAGGGUAUCCUAGUGGUGCAGCAGCUACUAAAGGUUCGUUUGUUCAACGAUUAAAACCCU